rnacentral:rRNA from 1 species
UACGUAGGACCCAAGCGUUAUCCGGAGUGACUGGGCGUAAAGAGUUGCGUAGGUGGCUUGUAAAGUGAAUAGUGAAACCUGGUGGCUCAACCAUUCAGACUAUUAUUCAAACUCACAAGCUCGAGAGUAGCAGAGGUAACUGGAAUUUCUAGUGUAGGAGUGAAAUCCGUAGAUAUUAGAAGGAACACCAAUGGCGUAGGCAGGUUACUGGGCUAUUUCUGACACUGAGGCACGAAAGCGUGGGGAGCGAACCGG